UGGAAAAUGCGCACGUGUACCACAAUUGAAUGGGAACAACGAAUAGUAAUGCACAUGUUAAAUGGAUUAAAAGCAGAAACGGAAACACGUUCAUCCAAUCCUUGGUCUCAACUUUUGUAAUGAUAUGCGUCCCCCUCCGCCGUGCCGGAGGAUGUCCUCGGCGGCAGAGGCUUUCCAAAACCAAAUCGAACAUCAACGUUCGAACCUAAUUUGCAUCCUGAAUCCGAAUACGCCACCAGAAUUUUCUAACUCCCCCAGCAUCGUUCGGAUCGAAGAAGAAACGUGGUGAAUCCCUAACUCAUAAUCUUGAGAUUUAAACAACGACGGAGGGGAAUCGAGCCACCUCACGUCGGGGCUUUGAUUCCCCUCAUUAAAAGCUACGCAACGGUAACCUCGAUAUGCAAAGAAGAUGAAGAUAGAGGUGAAGGUUUACCGGAACGACACCGGUGUCAGGUUUUUGGUUUUGCGGCUUUUUGUUGGUUGGUGGUUAUGGCUGAAGGAACGAAGAAUGGUGGUUGAGUGGUGGUGAUUGGAGGUUACACGUUAGAUGCAAGUGAGACUCGGUGAGGAUGAAGAUUUAAGAGUUUCAUUGAAGGUGAUGAGAAAUGGAAAUGAGACUGGUUGAGGGUGAAGUGAGAAGAUGAUAAAAUGGGAGUGAAGAAGAUUGAUAGUGGAUAGAGAAGAUGGAAGAGAACCAGCCCCAAAACAGAAUCACCAAGGUGACGUCUUUUCCCCGCAUAUUUGCCAACUACCAAGCUGUCAACGAGUUGUAGUCGUGGACUCAAAUGUGUUGGACUUGAGGAUGCUGCUUUUAUAAGAAUUUGCAGGGGAGUCUUGCCGGUUCUGUAAAAAAUUACACACGUGGACCUUGCUGCAUUUUCUCCUUGACUUCUAUCAUGCAUUUGUCAUGCGUUUGGUGCUUGCUGAGCUUGGUUGUGAUGCAGGUCUGCCAUGGCGUUCCUGUUACAACUGCCGUUCGCUUUGGACGUGGCAGUUUGUAUCUGUUCGGUUGAUGCUGUAGCUUUUCCAUUUGCAGCUUUGUGUGGCUAGUUUCGUUUGGACGACAUCUUUCUCACAAUUGUUAGUUUCAGACUUAGAACCGCCAUCCCAUCAUGUGGCAGCCUGGGCACACCAAUAACAAACUGAAACAAGGCCCUCUAUUGUUCUAGAGUGAACUCUUUCAUAAUUGCAAGUAGAUUAACAAUGGCAGGCCUCUUAGCAGUGUGUCCAUGAAAGUUUCCAUGUUUUGUCCUUGUCUCGUGCAUUGAAAUGUACUUUAGAAAAAAACUGUCAUGAAUUUGUGUUGCGAACGCUAUCAAAUGCUUGAAAUUCUUUUAGUGAGGUUGUAUGCUUCAAUGAAAUGGUUAUUGAAUCUUGGACUGUUUUUUCCUUGCAGGACGGGUUGUGUGAUUCGAUGGAGCUUUGGACAUGGACAUGGCUCACUCGGCAUUGAAGCUUGGAUUGUUUUUUUUGUAUUUUCUUUUGAAAUUUUGUAAAUGUUUGUAGUUUAUGUUUGUAAUGAGUAUAAUUAGGAGAUGGAAUUGUAAUAUAUGGACAUGCAUGUAUGAAAUUGUUAUUGUUGGAAGGAAAUGUGACUUGGAUCAGUUUGAACAAAUUGGGUUUGAAACUAGUGAUAUUGAAUGUUGUAAUGAAAUGUAAUAAGAAGGGUGUUUGACA